CCUACGGGGGGCAGCAGUGGGGAAUAUUGCACAAUGGGGGAAACCCUGAUGCAGCAACGCCGCGUGAAGGAAGACGGUUUUCGGAUUGUAAACUUCUGUUCUUAGUGAAGAAUAAUGACGGUAGCUCAGGAGCAAGCCACGGCUAACUACGUGCCAGCAGCCGCGGUAAUACGGAGGGUGCAAGCGUUACUCGGAAUCACUGGGCGUAAAGAGCGCGUAGGCGGGAUAGCAAGUCAGAUGUGAAAUCCUAUGGCUUAACCAGAGAACUGCAUGUGAAACUGUUAUUCUAGAGUAUGGGAGAGGUAGGUGGAAUUCUUGGUGUAGGGGUAAAAUGCGUAGAGAUCAAGAGGAAUACUCAUUGCGAAGGCGACCUGCUAGAACAUAACUGACGCUGAUGCGCGAAAGCGUGGGGAGCAAACAGGAUUAGAUACCCUUGUAGUC
rnacentral:rRNA from 1 species